rnacentral:rRNA from 1 species
UACGGAGGGAGCUAGCGUUGUUCGGAAUUACUGGGCGUAAAGCGCGCGUAGGCGGCUUUGUAAGUUAGAGGUGAAAGCCCGGGGCUCAACUCCGGAACUGCCUUUAAGACUGCAUCGCUUGAAUCCGGGAGAGGUGAGUGGAAUUCCGAGUGUAGAGGUGAAAUUCGUAGAUAUUCGGAAGAACACCAGUGGCGAAGGCGGCUCACGGACCGGCAUUGACGCUGAGGUGCGAAAGCGUGGGGAGCAAACAGG